UACGUAGGGUCCGAGCGUUGUCCGGAAUUAUUGGGCGUAAAGGGCUCGUAGGCGGUUUGUCGCGUCGGGAGUGAAAACACGGGGCUUAACCCCGUGCCUGCUUCCGAUACGGGCAGACUAGAGGUAUGCAGGGGAGAACGGAAUUCCUGGUGUAGCGGUGAAAUGCGCAGAUAUCAGGAGGAACACCGAUGGCGAAGGCGGUUCUCUGGGCAUUACCUGACGCUGAGGAGCGAAAGUGUGGGGAGCGAACAGG
rnacentral:rRNA from 1 species